UAACUGGAGGAAGGUGGGGAUGACGUCAAAUCAUCAUGCCCCUUAUGACCUGGGCUACACACGUGCUACAAUGGACGGUACAACGAGUCGCGAAGUCGUGAGGCUAAGCUAAUCUCUUAAAGCCGUUCUCAGUUCGGAUUGUAGGCUGCAACUCGCCUACAUGAAGUUGGAAUCGCUAGUAAUCGCGGAUCAGCAUGCCGCGGUGAAUACGUUCCCGGGCCUUGUACACACCGCCCGUCACACCAUGAGAGUUUGUAACACCCAAAGCCGGUGAGAUAACCUUCGGGAGUCAGCCGUCUAAGGUGGGACAGAUGAUUAGGGUGAAGUCGAACAAGAGGCCAUCCCCC
rnacentral:rRNA from 2 species